rfam:Zootermopsis nevadensis contig23014, whole genome shotgun sequence.
AUACUUACCUGGAGUAGGGGUUACCGUGAUCCAGAAGGCGGUUCCCCCAGGGUGAGAUCCUUCCAAGGCACUUCGGUUGGGUUGACCCCUGCGAUUGCCCCUAAUGUGGGUAACUCGGGCGCGUAAUUUAUUAUUAUUAUUAUUAUUAUAAUUAG